UACCCGUUGGUAAUCCUACCCGUUGGUAAUUCUACCCGAUGGUAAUCCUACCCGAAGGUGCUUUUACCCGAUGGUAUUCCUACCUGUUGGUAAUCCUACCCGAUGGUAAUCCUACCCGAUGGUAAUCCUACCCGAAGGUGCUUCUACCCGAUGGUAUUCCUACCUGUUGGUAAUCCUACCCGAUGGUGCUUCUACCCGUCGGUAAUCCUACCCGUUGGUAAUCUCACCCGUUGGUAAUCCUACCCGAAGGUGCUUCUACCCGUUGGUAAUCCUACCCGAUGGUAAUCCUACCCGAUGGUAAUCCUACCUGAAGGUGCUUCUACCCGUUGGUAAUCCUACCCGUUGGAAAUCCUACCCGAUGGUAAUCCUACCCGUUGGUAAUCCUAGCGCUAUUUGGCUGCUGAUGUCUUUGUUAACAUGCUUCCAAAGAAGGAAAGCGAUACGCAAGCUGACUGAAUGCCAAUUUGUCCUGACAAUCAAAAUGGGUAUUAUUUAUCUGGUGGAUUUUUUAAGCUGCUGUGAGUACACUAGUUCAUGCCAAGAUAUAACUUGGUUAACUCUCAAAAGAAAACGUUCACUCUCUGUGGCUUUUACUUCAGCCUGUCCAAACCGCGCAGGGCUCAUCUUUGUGUUUCCCCCCUUUUCACUUCUCAGACAUAAAACUGAUGAAUUUUCGCUCAUAUUUCAAGUUGGACUGAUGGCAGGUGACACCCCC
ensembl:lncRNA